rnacentral:snoRNA from 1 species
GAGCGACGCAUUGAGAACGGAACAAUAAAAAUCACCUUUCGGCUGAGCG